CUGCUCUCUGAGUGAAAAAGUUCCCCCUAAUAUCUGUCUUCAGAUGCUCCAGCACUCUGAGCAUCUUUGUGACCUUCUCUGGACUUUAGCUCCAGAUCUGAAUUUAUUCAAUUUAUUCUGAGUAGAUCAUAAAUCUAUGAAUUCAGCAGAAGCAGAUUCUCUUUUCUGUAUUGACAACCUCUCAUUUCUGUGCAUCUGUGUACAAGACUGUUUCUGGAUAUUGACAUCUAAUAUGCUCUGUCAAAUACAUUAGUUUGAAUCUGGCUGUAGCUACUUGCAUUGAUCUUUCAUUUCCUUAUGCUUAUAGACUAGGCUGAAAAUUUAAGGGAACUUACCAUUACUUCCUAAGGCAAUAUACUGGUCAGUAUGUCUCUUAAAAAAUAUAGAAAUUAUUUAUCAAAUGGCAUGAAAUAUUUAUCACAUUUUUUACCUUUGAUAAGGAAAAAGCUGCUGCUGGGCUGUCCUGGGUACUUCCUCAUGCUUUCAUAACAAUUGCUGAUUUCUAAAUGGUUGUGAGUGUUUGUCCAUAACUCAGAUUUAUGAACAUCAGAGGGCAACAUCAGGGAUCUUAUGAGAAGAUGGGGAACAAUCUAUAGAUGUUCUGCUAAAAAUCUCCAUGGUGCAGGUCACUUCUGAGUUUGUGUGCUAAUUCCCUAUUCUUGGCUGUGACCUCCUAGCUUCCUUUACUGCAACUUAAGAGUAAGUGUGUGUUCUGGUGGGAUUUAAUUAGACUUUCUUCUUCAUUGGAAAAUACAAGUGGAAAAUAGGAACUUUGAUCCAGAAGUCAUUUGAAGAGCUAGGAAUGAUGUGUGCUGUAACAGUUGCUUCAUCCUUACAAUUUCUCUGUGUCAUUGCAGUGCUGGAUAUUAGCCUUGUAACUAACAUCAGGACUUGAAUGAUGAAGUUUCAUACCUUUGUCCUCAUCAUGCAUUUCUAACACUUCCUCACCAUUUCUGUACUUUGACAAAGUCUCAUUUCUUUGCCUCCAAAUUACCUUACUUCACAUAUAGAUAGAUUUCUGGGAUGAGCUGUUAAAGACUCGCAAGGUGUUAAAUACUCUUGCCCUGUGGUUGAGACUCCAAGAAUUACUGUAAUAAAAGUAGAGUUUAAUGAAUAAAAAAAGUGUUGUCACUGACACUUUAUAAAUAUUAUUAAUAGAUAGCUUUAAAAGGAAAUACAAGUCUGUUUAGCAAUAAUGUAACUUUCUCACCUGUCACCUUUCCAUUUGUUACAUGUGAAGAAAGAAAUAGUAUUCUCAGUGCUUAAUUAAUGUUCUUUGCCUCAGACUGAUGUUAGCCACUGUGCGUAGGAUAGCUCAUUCUUUUGGUACAUCUCCUGAAGAGUAAGCAGGGUUAUUCACACAUAAUUAAGUGGUCAAGGACUAAAGUUUGUCAUAUAAAAGAGAUUCAUUUGGUUUAAUAAGUAGCUAUUAGAUGGAUGCUUCCUGAAUCAGUGAAUAAUCCCUUUAAUUUUUUCAUGACUGCAGAGAGCUGAAGCUCAUCAGCUCAACAUAAAUCAUGGGCCUGCAGAGAUCUGCUCUACUAAAAAGUCUGCAAUUAAAGGAAAAUAGUCUGCUCCUAAAAGGAGAUCUAAUUGGUUCUAUGAGUUUCUCUACCCAAGAGACGAACUCCUUCCUCCAUUCUCUGAUUCGGUGGAUGACAAACUAUCUGGAAAGUUAGUCCUUGAAAUCACAUGCCUUGGCUGAUUGUUGGGUUUCCUGGCAUAGGAUAGAGACAACAAAUGUCUGACACCACGCUAUACAAAUGACUACAUCCCCCACUGCUUCUAAGGUAGCUGGACUCCUGGAAAUUCCAGAAAUACCCUAGUAUCCUCUUCCACGGAUUUUCUUCUGUGGGAGGAUCCUGCUUAGAAAGUAUCAGACCUCAAGAACAGUCUGGAUGACCUUAUCAGUCCAUUAGGAGACGGUCUUAAGGAAGAGAUGGGUCUCACACUGUGCUCUGAAAGCUGCAAACAGGAAAUUUAUUGUGCUGAUGCCACUAUUGAGUGCCAAAAAUAGCAAUGGAUACUUGAAUUGGGAAGACAAGGAGAACUGAAAUUCAGCAACUGGCCUGAGCCUGCUUGGUGCCUUGAUGUGACCACUUCACUGGAAAAAAAAAAGUCUCAGCUUUGCGAAAGGUCUGUGGGAGGCCAAACAAGCACUUCAUUAAGACCUGCAUUCUUCACAGCUGGAAGACUGUAACCUGGAGAGUUACUGUUCCAAACCAGAUAUUCCACAGGGCACACAGCAGGUUGCCUUGAAGCCCCCUCUACUCAUGUUAUAUCAGCAGCUUGGGAAAAGGUUUUUUUAAACAGGCAAGCCAGUUAAAACCAGAGCAAGAUGGUGGAUUCAGUUCUCUGGGCUAGGCUGAGUAGAUCCUAGCAGAGUUGUGCCUCCUAUAGGAUAUUCUCCAGGAGAACUGAUUUGACACUGUUCUCAGGCUGGGGAAAUCUUCCUCCCUCCUGCUGGACCAGCUCUGUUUGCUUUGCAUUCUAGUUGUUGGGCUUUGUCUGUAUUUUUUUCCAGGCUCUGGGAAACCAGCAGUGUAGAACAAACAGAAUUUGGGCCACUUGCCUCCUAGGGAUUGAUUUGACAGAAAGAUUGCAUUAUUUUACAAGCUAAAGUCCUAGUAUGAAUAAUAGCCUAAGUGCACAAUAAAAUAAUGGAGGAAGAAGAAUAGUCUUUUUGAGUUGUGAGAUAACUGUCUUCUUCACCCAUCCUCGCAAACAAGAAUGAUGAUAUCUGGAUUGUAUAUGCUUUUGUGUUGUUCCAGUGGCAUAAAUGUGUGCUGCUGUUAUCAAAUGCAACUUGAAAUGCUCUUUGUCCUAAAAGGAUACUGUGUGAAUCGGGACAAAAUAACAGAUUGAGGUGAAAGAUGAAAAAAAGCCUUACUGGUGAGUAAAAUCUUAGGCAAAAAGGAAUUGCUCAGAAAAUGUUUUGAAGGUGGAAAUGGAGACAAAACAUACUUGAGUGGAGAAGUGAGUCUGAGGAAGUAUGAAAGGAUGAAGAACCAAGCUGUGGUGAUGGUGGACAUGGGGAUGGAUUGCACUGAUGGGAGUGUCUAAAAUGAAUGAUAAAGAAAAGACUUGGUGCUUAUGAUCAAGCCCUGGGUGCUAAAGGAGCAAUGAAGUGAAUUAGCAGGAAAGGAAGUUCAUUUGAACUUCAGCAUAGUUCGGAGGGGAGAUCAAGAUGAACACAAAUAAUCCUUUCCGCCUCAGUGGUGUUCACAAAAUGGUAUGGCAGAGAGGACAAAAGCCUCAUAACUGCGCCACUUCAUCUCACAAUCCACUUAGCCACAGCCCUUCUGUACGACUGUGGCAAGGCACUUACCCUCUGUGUGCUUCUGUCUUCUCCCUGUCUGCUGUGAAAUGAGUAAUAAAUACCUAAAGGUAGGAAAGGCAUAUGUGGAUGCAUACUUCAGAGCUUAUGAAGCAUUCAGGCACACUAAUGUGCUCUCUGCCACUAAAAUUCGUGUGCUAUUUUCUCUGUUUGCUAGUUGGAGUCAAGGCAUCAUAAUUUGUGAAAACUAAGUGUAGAUACCAUUUCUUACUCUGGGUAUGUAGCUACAUAAAGACAAGAAGCUUAAUUUCAAAGGCUAAACUAUGACCUGCUGAUGUACCUGGGAAAAGAACAGCUACUAUUGUAAAAUAUAUAUAUAUAUAUAUUCUGUUGCUAUAGCAACCUCUACAACAUGUAGUUUCUUAUGUGUGAUUAGUAUAGAAAGAGAAGUAUGGGAAAACAGUUUAUAAUACAAGACAUGGUCUUCCUUUUUGUACAUGUGGAAGGAAAGAAAAAGGUUUUCAAGGAAAGUGUUGUUAUGUUAAAUAUUUUGUUAUCGGAAUGUUUGUUCUCACAUGGUACCUCCUCUGAGUUUGACAAAGGAGAAGAGCCAGUUCCACUUUGAUUGCAGGCAGUAUCCUCUAAUUCUCUCUCAGGAAUUCUUAGGAAGCCUUCAAACUGCUUAAUAUUCGCUCUCUCUGCUCACAGUUUCUAAAUUAUUUAAAUGACAUGAAGAAAAAUGCAAUUUAAGCUGCUUCCAUGUGUGCAGGUGCCUGGACAGCAGAGCUCAGCUAGGAAAAAAAAAAACCAAAAACCAAAAAACAAACAAACAAACAAAAAAACCCCCACAAAUACGAUAGUUCAGGUUUUCUAUAAAAUGCACCCAGUGCAACUUCAUGCAUACACAGGUGUGUGACUAUGGUGGGACAGCAGCUCAAGUAAUCACACUAAGCCAAAAACCCUCCCUUCCUUCCACUACUGACUUAGUCAAAAUUCUGUGUGAAGUGUGAGGUAGGCUGAUGUGUCUACUUCUUGGUUUUCCUAACGGCCAACCUGAAUCUCCCCUGGUGAAAAUUAAGGCCAUUCUCACUCUCACACACAUAUCACUGUUAUCUGGGAGAAGAGAGCAAUGCCCACUUUGCCACAGCCUCCUUUCAGGAGAAUAUAGGGAGCUAUUGGGUCACCCUUGAACCUCCUCCAGACUAAACAAUCCCAGCUCCCUCAGCUGCUCCUCAUAACACUGUGCUCCAGAUCCAUUGCCCUUCACUGAACACGCUUCAGGAUCUCAAUGACUUUCGUGUACUGAGGGGCCCAAUGCCUGUUUGUCAAGGCUAAUGCAGGAGGCAGGCAGCGUUUUCUCAUGGUUGUAAAUGACUGAGCUAAAAUUUCCUCCCUGAUAUUAGCUGAUGUGUGCUAUCAGACAGUGUGUGUCAUUGCUGGAAAUUGUGUUUUUCUCCAGCUGUUCAUCUCCUGGCCUUGAUAUUGGAAAGGGACGACAGCUAUUUGAGAACCACAAAUGCUUAAGGUGUGUUGGGAGCCCUUUACGACUAAACCCUUCUGAAAACCAGAUUAUCUGCAGGCUUAACAGGGAGGUCAAAUGCAUUUCCUUGGCUGAAUUCCCAUUUUUGCUGAAAGCAAAGCAAAUUACUCAGGACAUGAAUUGUAGCCCUGAAUACAGGUCUUCUUCUUUUGUUUCCUAACACUCAAGGGCAGUUGUUUGUCAUAAUUUUUGCCUUUUUUAUGUGUUGGAAACUCUUCCAAACACUGUUAGCAUAUUUCAGUUCACAGAGAGCUUGUGAACCUCACUGUUUCCCUGGUUUUCUGCUUUUUUUUCUUUCUCCAAUUAAAUUUUAUUCUGACUUUGGCAUUUUCAAGAUGUUUUCUGUUACUUGCCUGGAUAAACAGAAUAGAAUUUAACUCUUGCUCUAUGUGUUAUCAUGAUGCUCAGCAGCCUGCAGUCCAUUUCCUUAUAAAUGCUUAAGUAGAUUUUGAUAUAAUUAGCUAAGUAAGCAUAUGGCAAUAAAGCGCAACCAAUGUGCUUGUUUAUAAAAUGCAGGCCAAUGCUUGAUUUAAAUCAGAACGCACAUGAUUUGCUCUGAAGCUAUUAAAAUGCCCAUUUCCAUGACUUAGUGUUUCAUGCAAGCAUCUUCAAUUUCUUGCAGUUUUUGACAUGUUAGGUUAGGAUACAGUAUUAUAUACAGAAAAUUUAAUAGUUUCUUUUACUUGCAUAUAGACAAUAUUUUCCUGUUCCACUCAUGCCUUCCUAUGGAGAAAACGUGGAAGUACCUGGCCACCUUCUAAUGUUCUGGAUGUUCCUGAUAAUCUUAAAGUAGAAGUGUGGUUUACUGGGCUAAGGUCUGAACAGCCGCCCGUUGCCUUUACAGGAAUAAUAGUUCAUGUUACAAGCCUUGUCCCUGAGGAACAUCUGUGAGCAUCUGUCACCAACUGGGUCCUAAUUAACAGGAACCACAACCAGCCUUCUUGGAAAUGGUUAUAAUUACUUCUGCUGGAGGGACUGGCCCCUCUGCUGAUGAACUGUGUGCUAGUAAACCAUGGCUCUUGAUGCGAAGCAAAUGCUUCACACUGGGAAGUAAAACUUCAGCAGAAGAAAUCCAAGCAUUUUUUAACAGACAAAUCAUGGCAAUAUUUAACUACCUUACAGACACUCUAUCAUACAAGGAGGUAUGGUUUACAACAUUUCCAUGUGCUUUGUUAUACUGCCUCGUAUUUUACACAUCUUGAAGGCUGUGAGAAAAAUGUGGGUUUUUUUCCUCUCACCUGUAUCAUUUCACUGAAUGAAAAAUGAGAUAAGAUUCCAUUGAGAGAUGCCCUCUCCCAUAUCUGAAAUGGAGGUGGUGAUUGUAGGGUACCUGCUGUAGCAAGGGAACUGAACUCAGUGAUCUCUCCAGGUCCCUUCCAACCCCUGCAGUUCUGUCCAAAUGCUAUCUGAGGGCAGACUGCUGCAGGUUCAGCAUGACUGUGUUGUCUCUUGGGCUGCCUGAGAGAGAAGCCGGCUGGUACCUUUAGAAGAGGGUGAGAGACUGGCAUGCAAGGAAAUAAAAGACAAGAAGGAGAGCAGGCUACACCUCUCUGAUUUUGCAGAAGACUGCUUUCUGAGGAAGAAAGUUAUCAGUUUAGUUGUCUAUCUUUACACCAGUAUCGGUAUAAGAAAAGCAGUUAGAAUGGCAUUUAAAUCAUUCUUAAUUUCAUUAUCCUAGUGAUCUGCAUGAAUUUGCAUGGUGUUUGAAGACAUUUUUGCUUUUUCUUAAUGCCACUUUUCCUUUACUUACUCCAAACAGGCAUUGUGCAAGUUUAUCUGUACUUAAAUCCCCUUGAGGUGAAAGCUCGAUAGAAAUCUGAACUGUGAUAUCUUUGUGCAUGAAGAAAAUACACUCAUUUAUUUAUAUUAGUGUCAAACUUGUCUACUGCACUUUUUUUCUUCAUCUUAAUUGAAUGUUCCUGCGGUAGCAGACAGGGCGUGUGCUUAAAUAGGAAGGACUAAUUGGAAGGAGCUGUCAGGUUAGCAGACAUUUAGCUAAAUAGAUUGCACUUCAGUUGGAAAAUUUCCACAGGAUAAGUCUGAAGAGUUUAUAAAGGCACAUGAUGGAUGCAGGAAGAAGAGGGUAGGAGGAUACCUGUUUGGGUAAUGUGAGAGGCUGCUAUGUAAUUACAAUGGAUCUUUUAAUCUAGAACAGAUUGAAUACUAGAUAGAUGAAUUCCAUGUAGGUUAUUGAGGACGUAACAGUUUCUUACUUACCUUAAUUCAGCAUUUCUUUAACCCUUCUACAGUCUAGGCCCUGGAUUUUGUUUAUUUCUUGUGUCACUACUGGAGUAACAGGCAAAGGAGGAUACAUUCUCUAUCUGUUAUGUUUCACUGCUGCAAAUCUGGGAAGGUUUGUUCCUACCAUCAAUUUACUGGAAAAUAUCUAAUGCUAGACCGAGUAUGUAAACACAGGAUUACUCAUGCAAUUCUUGACUAAAUUCCUAUAAAAUAUAAUGAGCUGCUUCUAAUGUUAAUGUGUCCUUUCUUAAACUCAAAUAUCUUAUUUAUUUCUCCCGAGAUUAUGCCUUUACCAUGUUUUCACAUUAACCAUAUGGUUUAAUCUCUUAAUAGUGAGUGUCUAAACACUCUUCAAGCCUAGCCUAAUAAAAAUGGUGGCAUUGAUGAGGUCUGUCAGUUUGGGAUGGCUCAACUGCUUGCUGCUCUGCAUACUGUCCAGCUGUUUAAAGGCUGUAACCAGCACAGGGCUGUAGCAGUAAGGCUUGUGCAGUGCCUGAGCUUGGCAGUAUAGCUGUGCGAUCCACUUGGAAUGAGUCAUGCAUAGUCCCAAAGGACUGGGAGAAGAGAAAUGUCCUAGAGACCCAGGGGAAGCUGCAGAGAAGCACCCAUUGCUGAGCUCUGGGGCAGCCAGGACAACUAUCCCCUACUGACGUAUUUGCCAGCCACAGCCAAACCACUCAAAGCCUGGGAUGACCCUCACCCUCACAUCAGGAGCUGUGGGAAGUGCUUGGGCUGCCCUAAGUGCAGUUAUUGACCCCUAGAUGAUGCUCCUGUGUGGUCUGCAUAUGAUGUGCAUUUUAUUGCUAUAUAUAGGAAGAUAGUUAACAUAUUUUUAGCUUUCAUUUUAUACCACUAUUUGUAAAUAAUGAGCUGCUCUCUGAAUAAACGGAAUAAACAUGAGUUUUUCCAAGACUUCACAGGAAGAAUGGCUUUGAGAAAAAAACUUGCUCAGAUUGCUCUGAAAUGAGCAAAAGCCAUUUUUUCCUCUGAGGACAGGCUACCUGUGUGCACCCACAUUCCAGCCAUUACUCCAGCUGUAGAUAGGCUGGUUGCAUUGCUCUCUUUUUCUCAAAAUGGAUUAUUCAAGGUUGCUUAGGCACUUCCAAUAGAGAAAAACUUCAUUGCCCUAUUUGCAUUAGUAAAUUCAUCCUACGAUCCUUAUAACAUUUUCAUUUAUCUGGAUAGCUGUAAUGCUCCUGCACUAAAAAGCUAUCAUUUCUCUCUUUUUUUAAAGAAUGCAUGCUACUGUUUCAUACUCCAGGCAGUCUUAUCUGCAAAGUAGAAUCAAUUAAGACUGGAAAAGAUGAGAAAAUAAAUUCUUCCUAAUAUCCAGUAAACCAGAUGUAAAUUCCUGUUCCAGAGACACAUCUGUGUUUAUUUCUGUGUAGAUCGAAUGGAAAAUUAUAUAUGAUGGGGCACUAUGAUCUGUACCACUGUCUCUAUUUACAGGCAAAGUCAACAUAAAUCUGAAAAAGUUGUGAAAAUACUUGAUUCAGAUGAAUACAUGAUACUGUUGUAUUUAACAUUUCCCUUGUUGACUUUCCUGGUGCCUGGUAAAGUUCAGAUGCUUACAAAAAGAGUUCAGUGAUUGACUCAUGAUACUGCUGCCAAGGUUUAAUAAGGAACUGAACUGAACUUUUUCAUAAUUACAUUGUACCAGGAAGAGGUGAAAAUUUUUCUUCCCAUUAAAUUAUAAUGGAAAGUGGCAUCAACCUAUUGGAAAUCUCAGCUUCCACUCAGUGAUUCUGAAUUAGUUACCAGUAUUGUUGGCUCCAGCUCAGCAAACCGUGCUUGUUGAGCAAGACAUUGAAAUCAGAUAGUCUUAAAUUUAAUUAACUGGUUAAGCCCUCUUUCUCCUUUCCUUAGUUUUUAGCGUAUACUUGUUGCUACUCUGAAUAGAGACGCACAGAUUUAUACAUAGUUUAAGGUUUGCUCUGUUGUGAAAUUGUUCCCUAUUUGACAUCAAAAUAGAUAACAUUAAUUUUUAUUUUUUUUUGCAAAAUCUUUGUCUAAAUGACUUUUUUGCUCUUCUGGCACCAGAGUUGACUGGUCGAGUGAUGAUUGAAAACAGUAGUGUUGAAUUUCUCCACUUGGUGGCACUAAGAAAUAACACAACUGCCCUUGUAACUAGGCUGUAAAACGUGGCCUGGUGGUUGGGAAUAACGGAGCACAGUGGCCCUGGGAAAGGAAGACAUCAAGUGAGCAGAAAUCCCAUCACUGUUUUGCUUGUAAGAAGUGUUAGAAGUUUCCAGCAGGGAGCACAACCGCUGGGAUAUUAUCUCUGCACUUGAACAUGCAGAGCAAAUCUCUUCCCUCGCUGUUGAGUCUGGUGACAGAUGUACUGCACUUCUCUUACAUUUGCUACUUGCUUCAGAGUGAGGUGUACCUCAGAGAGAUUUUGUUGGAGUCUGGGAGGAGGGAACCACAAAGUCUUCAUCUCCAAUACCUCAUUUCAGGCACCACUGGAGAGUUUCCCUUGGACAAGGAGAUUUGCAUGAAUCUCCCUGGGGAGCCCCUCAUUGUAAAUAUUAUUGCCUGCUUGGGAGAAGAGAUGCAGUAGAGCCAUGUAAGGAAUAAACUUGCUCUGAGGGGAUGACUUUAAAGACUUAUAACCACUGCUAGCACAGAAAAUGAACAAAUUGGACCUAGCAUUUAUCCAGGUUCUUUUGCUUCUUGGUUAAUAAUACCCAGUAAAGGUCAAGUGCCCUAGGAAUGGAUUUCAUUUGUGGUUACAUUCUUGCUCCCUGGUGCAGCUCUUGUUUUGGAUCUGCACUGAAAUGCUGUUGUUUUUUGUUGUUUGUUUUUUUUUUUUUCCUCUCCUUCUGCACAAGCUUUUUGCUGGCUGGGGUUAUUUAUUCAGAACUGAGAGCUGUUUUUCUGCCUGUAUUCUUUUUCUCUUAUCAGUUCUCCUCAUAGUUUGAGUCACAUUAAAUCCCCUAUUAAAACAAACAAACAAAAAAUGAUAAUAAUUAGUCUAUGCCUUUUAAACUUGGACAAGUUUUCAGAGCUGGAAAGACUCUUCUGACAAAAAGGGAACAGACAUCUGAGAAAUAGUGCCCUUGUAUAUUUUCCCUGUAUUUCCAGAACUAAGGCUAUGCAAGCAGUAUGGUUGAGUAGGAGCAAAUCUGCAGCAGCAAGGCAGCUAGUGUUGAGGACUUGGUGUGCACCCAUCUAUAUUUCUGAGGGAGUGACCUCAGGCUUGGGUCUGCCCUGGGUAAGAGGGGCAGUGGAGGCUGGAGCACCACUGGAAGGAGGUGCUCCAGCAAUGUGAGCAGGAGGCUGGGGCAUAAAGAGCACUGGGACAUCCAUCCCCUACAGAUGUGGACUCCUGAGCUUCUGCUCAAGAUCUAUGUUGUGCCUCUCUGGCUGUGAACAAUGCGAUGGAAAUGUAAAUUGCUGCUAUCACAAUAUGUGAGGAUAAUGAAAUGGGCUGGACGGGGAGUGUAUUACUCAUUGUAAUUGUUCUUCAUCAAUGAUUUAAACCUGUCUAUGGUGACUGGAAGUCAGCAUCACAAUAUAAUUCAGUGUCUUGCUGAGUUAAUAUUACCUGUCCAGGAGAAUGGUGCUUACGAAAAGCACCGCAAGCACUGCUGGCAGUACCACAGUGGGAGGCAGGUUUUUGUAUUUUAAAUGUUCUAUCUAGAAGUUGGAAGAGACAGAGGUGGGACUGCAGCAUCGGCAGAGUGGGAGAACAAAACAGAUAUCCUAUGGAGUUUACUUUGGAGCAAACAGAGAUGAUUAAAAACACCCCAAACCAACAUGGAUGUGUGAAAAAACGUAAUGGGAGAUUGAAAAGACUGAUGGGAUGGUAAACCACAGACAUCAGUUUCUGCCAUCCUGAGCUUGAAAGUUGUGGAAACUUCCACCCUUAUGGAUAAGUGCAUGGUCAUAUUUGCACAACACAGACACGAUCCAAAAGCGGUGAUUAUAAACUCCCAAAGUAGAGACUCAAAUAAGUGUCUACAGGAAGAGCCAUUAUCACUUGGUUUCUACAACACCUGGCAAGCUGGAACUGAGCCUGCAGCAGCUUAUAAUUUUUGCAAUAUAUAUGUUCAGUGCUAAAUAAAAACAAUCACGUCCAUAUUAUUCUUCUAACAAGCAAUAACUGAGUGAAAAUCAUUCUUUCAAGAGUUCUUCAUUCUUUAUGAGAUUUAGUAUAGUUAAUGCUUAUUACUCUAUUCAUUUGUGGGCUUUCCGUAACCCACUGUAAUUAAAAAUAUCUGUAAUACAUAGUUUGUCAGAAAGGCAGCUGGAAUAUAGUCAUGAAUAUCUGACUCUUAUGUUGAUUUCUGGACUCUCAGCGUCUGGUUCCUAAAGAUUAUCAGAAACUCAUUUUUUGAGUUUUACGACUAUAUCACUGAGGCUAUAUCACUGUCAGCAGCAAACACCAGCUAAGAGAAAAUGACCUUUAAGAAAAGACCUUUAAGACGUUGCCUAAUGCGUGCUGCCGACACUUUGAAAAGUAGCCAACACGUUGCAAAAAUGGCCCUUUAAAAACAAAACCCUGAGAAAAAUAUCCAUCAUAAUUUCUCACUCAGCAAAAGCAAAAUUGCUGAAAUGUAUUCCUCUACCGUGCUCACAAAGUAGCAGGUUUACUUGGUCGUAAACAAAAGCUGAGGCAAUCACUUUGCCAAGCACCAUGUUAAUAGCACAAACUGUCUUUAAUAGUCAAAGGCAGUGAAACAGCAGGAGGGCUGCCAUUAAAACUGCAUAUUCCUCUUUAAAGCACGGAGCCAUUAAAGACAAUGGUUAUUUGGCAACAUCUUCAGUGCAAAAAAA